GCCAAUGUGGUCCAAUAGAAGGGCUGUUGGAUUUAAAAUCAAAGAUUUUAGGUUCAAAUCCUGACCUUGAUC
rnacentral:tRNA from 1 species